CUCCGGAAUCCGACGCUCUCCCCAAGGACACAAGCCAUGCAUGCCCGCACACCCGGGAGGCGGCGGACGGCUCAGGACAACGGUUGCACCCCCCGCGGCGGUCCCUGCUAGCCGGACACCGCUGGCAACCCGGCGCCAAGACGUGCGCGCAAGGGCGGGCGCCCGCGGGCGAGCAGCGUGACGCAGCGACGGCCCGCCCGGGCUUUCCGGGGCAUCACCCGGUCGGCGCGGUCGCGGCGCGCCGAGGGCCCGACGCCUGGC
rnacentral:rRNA from 1 species